UACGGGGGGGGGCAAGCGUUGUUCGGAAUUACUGGGCGUAAAGGGCUCGUAGGCGGCCAACUAAGUCAAACGUGAAAUCCCUCGGCUUAACCGGGGAACUGCGCUUGAUACUGGAUGGCUUGAGAUUGGGAGAGGGAUGCGGAAUUCCAGGUGUAGCGGUGAAAUGCGUAGAUAUCUGGAGGAACACCGGUGGCGAAGGCGGCAUCCUGGACCAACACUGACGCCGAGGAGCGAAGGCCAGGGGAGCAAACGGGG
rnacentral:rRNA from 1 species